UACGUAGGGUGCAAGCGUUGUCCGGAUUUAUUGGGCGUAAAGAGCUCGUAGGCGGUUUGUUGCGUCGGCUGUGAAAUCCCGAGGCUCAACCUCGGGUCUGCAGUCGAUACGAGCAAACUAGAGUGUUGCAGGGGAGACUGGAAUUCCUGGUGUAGCGGUGAAAUGCGUAGAUAUCGGGAGGAACACCAGUGGCGAAGGCGACUACCUGGCCUGUUCUUGACGCUGAGGCGCGAAAGCUAGGGGAGCAAACGGG
rnacentral:rRNA from 1 species